rnacentral:rRNA from 1 species
GACGAACGCUGGCGGCGUGCCUAACACAUGCAAGUCGAGCGAGGAGAGUUCCUUCGGGAACAAACCUAGCGGCGACGGGUGAGUAACACGUGGGCAACCUGCCUUGUAGAGGGAAUAGCCUUCCGAAAGGAAGAUUAAUACCGCAUAACAUUACAGUUUCGCAUGAAACAGUAAUUAAAGGAGUAAUCCGCUACAAGAUGGGCCCGCGGCGCAUUAGCUAGUUGGUGAGGUAACGGCUCACCAAGGCGACGAUGCGUAGCCGACCUGAGAGGGUGAUCGGCCACAUUGGGACUGAGACACGGCCCAGACUCCUACGGGAGGCAGCAGUGGGGAAUAUUGCACAAUGGGGGAAACCCUGAUGCAGCAACGCCGCGUGAGUGAUGAAGGUUUUCGGAUCGUAAAGCUCUGUCUUCGGGGACGAUAAUGACGGUACCCGAGGAGGAAGCCACGGCUAACUACGUG